rnacentral:rRNA from 1 species
AUUGAACGCUGGCGGCAGGCCUAACACAUGCAAGUCGAGCGAGAGGCGGACGGGGGAGUAAAGUAUGGGGAAUGCGCGAUAGAGGGGGAUAACUACUGGAGACGGUAGCUAAUACCGCAUACGAUCGGAUAACCCAUAUGGGAUUAGAUAGUGGGUGGGGUAAUGGCUCACCUAGGCGACGAUCCCUAGCUGGUCGGAGAGGAUGAGCAGCCACACUGGGACUGAGACACGGCCCAGACUCCUACGGAGGCAGCAGUGGGGAAUAUUGCACAAUGGGCGCAAGCCUGAUGCAGCCAUGCCGCGUGUAUGAAGAAGGCCCUAGGGUUGUAAAGUACUUUCAGCCGGGAGGCGUUACCGGCAGAAGAAGCACCGGCUAACUCCGUGCCAGCAGCCGCGGUAAUUC